ACGGAAGGCAGCAGUGGGGAAUAUUGGGCAAUGGGGGAAACCCUGGCCCAGCAACGCCGCGUGAAGGAAGAAGGCCUUCGGGUUGUAAACUUCUUUUACCAGGGACGAUAAUGACGGUACCUGGAGAAAAAGCAACGGCUAACUACGUGCCAGCAGCCGCGGUAAUACGUAGGUUGCAAGCGUUGUCCGGAUUUACUGGGUGUAAAGGGCGUGUAGGCGGGGCUGCAAGUCAGAUGUGAAAUCCCGGGGCUCAACCCCGGAACUGCAUUUGAAACUGUAGCCCUUGAGUAUCGGAGAGGCAAGCGGAAUUCCUAGUGUAGCGGUGAAAUGCGUAGAUAUUAGGAGGAACACCAGUGGCGAAGGCGGCUUGCUGGACGACAACUGACGCUGAGGCGCGAAAGCGUGGGGAGCAAACAGGAUUAGAUACCCUGGUA
rnacentral:rRNA from 1 species